GAUGAACGCUAGCGGCAGGCUUAAUACAUGCAAGUCGAGGGGCAGCAUGGUGUAGCAAUACACUGAUGGCGACCGGCAAACGGGUGCGGAACACGUACAGAACCUUCCUUCGAGCGGGGAAUAGCCCAGAGAAAUUUGGAUUAAUACCCCAUAGUAUAGCGGAGAGGCAUCUCUCUGUUAUUAAAGAUUUAUCACUUGAAGAUGGCUGUGCGGCUGAUUAGGUAGUUGGCGGGGUAACGGCCCACCAAGCCUGCGAUCAGUAACUGGUGUGAGAGCACGACCAGUCACACGGGCACUGAGACACGGGCCCGAUCCUACGGGAGGCAGCAGUAAGGAAUAUUGGUCAAUGGACGAAAGUCUGACCAGCCAUGCCGCGUGGAGGAUGAAGGUCCUCUGGAUUGUAAACUUC
rnacentral:rRNA from 1 species